AAACCUCCCUAUCUCUCUCACGCGCCGUCUCUGCCUUCCUCCUCUGUGUCCAGUGCCCUCCUCCUCCCCUUGGCCUCGUCCAACCAUGGCACACCGCUGUCCAGCUUCUCCACCAAUCCAUCCAUGGCGAGGAGGAGCCGUGCUUCCCCCCGACCCUCCCGCCCCAGAUCUCUCACCAUCUUUUUUCCACAGCAAAAACUGCACGGAUCUGAAUUUUUGUUGUCUUGUUUGUUUUUUAGAUCGCACGUGGUGCACUGUCUGCAAGAACACGAACCAGAGCCAUCUCCACACGGAAGUCGACCUCGCGUGGCAUGAGGGACGACACGGCUCCCCCAUCCCAGGCUUUGCUGGUCCAUCCGACGCCGCCUUCAACCUCUGCCCCGGCGAUGCGUUCGACGCCCUCCGACCUCGCGGGCCCCCAAAGUGGCACGGUCGCCCUCCACCUGCGUCCAACCAUGGCGACGGUGCGUCCUCACUGACACCGACAGGAGCGCUGGGGGGAGAAGCCACCAGCUUCAAGGUACCUACAACGUCUGCCACAAGCGUGCCAUCAGCCACAAGGUAUUUUCCUUUCUUAAUGAAGGUUGAAGCAUCUGGUUUUGCUCAGUAUUUAGGGUGGAUUAGGACUAAACCUGGUUCUUCAUGUCUCUUUGAUAUGAAUCUUUUGCGUCUGGAUGUAUUAAAGUGGUAUAUUGUGCUCUCAAUUUUUUACUCUGAAAUUCAUGUCAUCUGUACAGUGGUUCAUUGUUUCUUCGUGAUGCAGAUCAGAACAUCCUUCUUUCAAUACUUAAAUCCAUGUUCUUAUUCCUUGGUCGUUGCACAAAAAUUGGGUUGUAUAUAACUUCCUUAAAUCCAUGAUGUAUAUUGCAAUGUUAAGUUGAUACCAUUUUGUACCGCUCUACCUCUUAGUACGAUACCCAUUCCUGAUAUCUGUACUUCUUUUGCGCAACUUCAGACAAAUGAUUUACUGCUUUAUUCUGUUGCAAGGUUAUGGACUUACGGUUAUGCAACUUCAGAUCUCUUUGAUAAGGAGUGUUUUCAGUCAAAUUUUGAAAUACUGGAGAAAUUAAGAUAUGCUCAUCAUAUUACACUGAUUUUUUUUGAGAAUUAUUACACUGAAUAUUGACAUGCCAAUAUUGCCUGAUGUUGUCCGUUAGUCAUGCCUAACAUAGGCCACUAGAUAUUGUACAUUUUGACAGAGCUAUAAUGGCCCACUUUGUUAGUGCAUAAUGAACACAUCAAGAGACAUGUGGAUACUUCAUGGAUAACCGAGCGUGGUGGGUUCUUAGGUGAGAGAUUCUGCACACUGAACCUCAAUCAUUCAUUAUAUUGUUGCUUCUUACCCUUGUAGGCCAAGAACUGAGAUUCGCUCAAAAAACGCCAGCCUGAGCCAUGAAUAGAUUGCGAUACUUCACUAUGAUUGAAAAUUAAACACCACUCGACCGUGUGUAAAAUUGUAUCAUAUACGAUAGUUAUGCUAAGGUUGGAUUUGAGGAACUCUUGCCUAUUUAUAAGCAUGAAAGCUGCUUGUAGUAGCCUUUAUAUUAUAUGGAACGCUGACCAAUAUAUUUGCUUUGUGCAAGUAGGACUUCACAUGAUCUUAUAAUUGCCACUUUACUUUUCAUAGAGAGCAUUAACUUUUGAGCAUAAUAUAUUAUGUCUCUAAAGAUAGCGUGAAAUAGACUACGACUGGGAUGAUUAUAUUGUGCCUAAGAGGUUGCCUCUCAUAUGAAACCUGGCUCAAACUAUGUAAUUGCAUUUACUGAUCACUGAUUCUAACCCCUUCUCUUAUCAGGAAUGUUGUUCACGAGGAUCUGAGGAACUUAACAUGCCAGGGAAGAUACUUUCGCAUAGGGUGUAAGAUGUUAUUUAUGGAUGAGUUACCGGAUGCCAUUCUACGACAUGAACAUGAGUAAGAUUACUGGCAAUGGUUUUAUAGUUUCACUACAGAGACAUGAUGGAGAUAUUCAAUGUGUUUUGUAUACCAUCCUAGAUGGUUGACUUAAAUUAUCCCAUGGCCUGAUAGAUGCCUAAGGUUUUAAUGGUCGGACAUUCCUAUGUGUGGACUCUAUGAUGGGGAGGAGUCUUAACAUGAGGAAUGGCCUUGACCUUGGCAGGUGUCAGCUAUCCGACCAGGCAAGUGUUCUAGCAUCCAGCUUCGAUGAUCUUUUCUUUCCAUUUUGACCUUCAACACUUUGAUGUUUGUAUGACACAAACACUGGUAAGAGUAACAUAGCUACGCAUUCAAAAUCUACUAACUUGACCAGCAAAAAAACAAUUUUUAGUUGCCUCCAUAGUUGCGAGAGCUGAUCAUAACUUUGUGGGUAUAUCUUAUUUGUUACUUUUUGUGUUAAUUUUUAAGCAUUUUAUGUAUGUAAGUGUGCCAGACUUACUGAGCAUGUGCUUUCAGUUUUGUAGUGCAAGAAAGUAACUGUUGCAAUACAAAAGCAACUUGUGGAAGAAAAAAAUACAAGGAAUAAUGAUAGGUUUUAGAGCAAGCGUAUGAUAGGUUUUAGAGCAAACGGUUGUAUGCAUUGCAGGAAAUUGUUAUAAUGUAGUUUUGUGUACCUAUGCUACUCAUAAUAUUUUCUAAUUAAAAAU